rnacentral:tRNA from 1 species
GCCCCGGUAGCUCAGCCUGGUUGGAGCGCUCGCUUGGUAAGCGAGAGGUCCCGGGUUCGAAAGGGUCGUCCCCGAGCGUCCCGGCCGGGGCUCCA